rnacentral:rRNA from 1 species
AUUGAACGCUGGCGGCAGGCCUAACACAUGCAAGUCGAGCGAGCGGCGGACGGGUGAGUAAUAUCUGUGAAACUGCCUGAUGGAGCGGGAUAACUACUCGAAACGGUAUCUAAUACCGCAUACCCUCAGAUGUGCCCAGAUGGGAUUAGCUCGUAGGGGGGGUAACGGCGCACCUAGGCGACGCUCCCUAGCUGGUCUGAGAGGAUGACCAGCCACACUGGAACUGAGACACGGUCCAGACUCCUACGGGAGGCAGCAGUGGGGAAUAUUGCGCAAUGGGCGAAAGCCUGAUGCAGCCAUGCCGCGGGUGUGAAGAAGGCCUUCGGGUUGUAAAGCACUUUCAGCGGGGAGGCGUUACCCGCAGAAGAAGCACCGGCUAACUCCGUGCCAGCAGCCGCGGUAAUUC